UACGGGGGGGGCAAGCGUUGUUCGGAAUUACUGGGCGUAAAGGGCUCGUAGGCGGCCAACUAAGUCAGACGUGAAAUCCCUCGGCUUAACCGGGGAACUGCGUCUGAUACUGGAUGGCUAGAGUGUGGGAGAGGGAUGCGGAAUUCCAGGUGUAGCGGUGAAAUGCGUAGAUAUCUGGAGGAACACCGGUGGCGAAGGCGGCAUCCUGGACCGGUAUUGACACUGAGGCGCGAAAGCCAGGGGAGCAAACGGG
rnacentral:rRNA from 1 species